UUCUCGUUAGUAUAGUGGACAGUAUCACCGCCUAUCACGCUGGAAGACCGGGGUUCGAUUCCGACGGGGAG
rnacentral:tRNA from 1 species